GGCCAAGUGGUCUAGUGGUAUGAUUCUCGCUUUGGGUGCGAGAGGUCCACGGUUUUCGAUCACCGGCUUGGCCC